rnacentral:rRNA from 1 species
UACGUAGGGUGCAAGCGUUGUCCGGAAUUAUUUGGGCGUAAAGAGCUCGUAGGCGGUCUGUUGCGUCGGCUGUGAAAACCGCAGCUCAACUGUGGGCUUGCAGCUGAUACGGGCGGGCUUGGAUUCGGUAGGGGAGACUGGAAUUCCUGGUGUAGCGGUGAAAUGCGCAGAUAUCAGGAGGAACACCGGUGGCGAAGGCGGGUCACUGGCCCGAUACUGACGCUGAGGUGCGAAAGCGUGGGGAGCAAACAGG